UAAUUGUUGUUGCAAAUUUCUUGGGACUAGAGUCCUCGGAAGUUUCGGUCCUACUUUCCCAUGUUUGUGAGGAGAACUUGCAGGAGAAUUAGAGAUAAAUCGUUUUUUUGUGGCUACACUUUGGGACCAUGUGGGAGCAUCAGUGGAUACUGCAUGUGAGUGAAUUUCAUUAGUGCAUGGUUUUGUCUUUUGUGCAUUCUCCAAAUGAGCAACUACUUGCUUGUUCAGUGUUAGUUAUGCUCUCAAUUUUGUUCUGUGAGCCAGAUUGAACCAGUUGAAUAGUACUAGUAGUGCCAUGAUAUGAUUGACUCUGGUCACCACAGUACACUGCAGCAUGACUCUGUAGCAUAUCAAUGUUAUCGACGCUAUAGCUACAGUGAAUACAUCAGGCUCUAUAGGUCAUCCCACACUGUUUUCUGUCGCUGAGACAUGGAUACGCCCUUGGCUACACGUGUUACAAAGCCAUUAUAACUGUCUGUAGAGGUAACAAUUCCUAGCCUAUUCAGGAUUUUCAUGAGUACGUGUGACCCCCCACACAUCUCAACUGUGUCUGAUAGUAGACUAGCAUGUGAAAAUUCAGGAUUUUCAUGAGUACGCGUGACCCCCCACACAUCUCAACUGUGUCUGAUAGUAGACUAGCAUGUGAAAAUUCAGGAUUUUCAGGAGUACGCAUGACCCCCCCACACAUCUCAACUGUGUCUGAUAGUAGCAUGUGACAAUUCAGGAUUUUCUUGAGUACGCGUGAGUACCCCCACACAUCUCAACUGUGUCUGAUAAUAGCAAGUGUAGUGGUGUAGGUACUCUCAUGUUCGUGCAAAACAGUAUACCACUAAGUAUGUUAAACCGUCUCACAUCUUUAGUGUUAAAUUUUCAUCUAAAUGGCUCCUAAAAUGGUUUCUGGUUUACUUUCCUAAUCACCUAGAUUUCAAGUACGUGCAUAGGCAAUAAUUAUGGUACAGUUUUAUAUGCAAAAAACGGGGAUUUGCUAACAAGCCUAUCCUGGGAAUUAGGAAGGGCUCAAAGCACCACUGAUACAGAUGUCAUGUAUGAGACAAUUAGUGACAUGCCCAGUGACGAUGCUAUAAUUAUUAAGAAGAGCCGGGAAUAAUUUAGUUCACACAGAAAGUGACCGGUACAGUCAGCUCGAUGCUGCUUCUCUAAGUUCAACAAUAAAGCACCUCAAUAUAAACAAGGAAAUAGGAAUCUCGGAUGAACGCUUGUGGAAAUUCAUUAAGUCUAUCACAAGGACAAUGAAAGAAGGAGGCAGUGGUAAAGAAAAACUUUCUAACACCUUCUUCUGUGUCUACGAUGCAUUCCCCAGGACAGAGUUGACUAUGUGUACGUCUGGACAGUGUCUGUUAAAGUUUUUGAAAGACUUGGGUUGAAUCCCACAGCACGCACAGAAUAUAAGUACACGGCCGAUCAGGGUGAUACUUCGAAUUGAUUGAUGAUGAGGACAUCUGUUAGAAGCAAUACACAAACGUGGUUUAUUAUACCACUAUCUUGCAAUUAUUAUGGAUUUUUUUCAACGAUAUAUUUCUCAACACUCAAUUAUGAAUCGACACAAAAAAUAACUAUAAUACAUGUUCCUCAAUCAUAUAGGAUAUAUAGCACGUACUGAAUGUGUUCAAAUA